CCCUUAGAUGUUCUGGGCCGCACGCGUGCUACACUGGGUGGAUCAGCGGGUCAGGUUGCGCGAAAGUGUUUCCUAAUCUUGAAAUCCGCUCGUGAUGGGGAUUGACGGUUGCAAUUUUCCGUCAUGAACGAGGAAUACCUUGUAAGCGCGGGUCAUCAUCCCGCGCUGAAUACGUCCCUGCCCUUUGUACACACCGCCCGUCGCUCCUACCGAUUGAGUGGUCCGGUGAGGCUUUGGGAUCUGAGCGGAAAGAGCGUUUCGCUGUUUCUGCUCGGAAAACUCAGUCGAACCUUAUCAUUUAGAGGAAGGAGAAGUCGUAACA
rnacentral:rRNA from 1 species